AGCAGGUCCUGGGGCCAGGGGUGGUGCUUAAUUGUCCACAAUCAAGGGACAGAAAGAAAGACCGAGUGGUCUGUGUUUGUUAACUUUACUGUUAAAAAUGAAGAGAUCAUGUAAUACAGGCCUUGAAUAGAGCAACUGGGAGAGCGUGUUCCGGACAACAGAUCAUGGUCAGUCCGAGCCUGCUACCCUGACCUUGACAGACAAGAAGAAUCUAUGCUGUUUUCUUCCUUUUCGUGGGCUUCGUGACCCACGGAAGGGGCACCCCGGGGUCCCUCCACUGUGGGGAAGGACACUGUAGACAGGUGUGAAUGGGCUUCACGGGAGUUCACAGAAUCCUUAGAAAUGCACACACACGUGAACAAAACAACAGAGGGCCAGGCGUGGGCCAGUGAUGAGGACGGACUUUUAACAAGGCUGUGAGUGACCUUGUGCGAGAGCCAGGCCGUUGGGAUCGUGGGCGCAGGCCGUCCAGCUUGGGCUUAGUGUGUCCUUUGAGUAAAUUAGGUGAGCCGUAAAAUAACGACAGAGUAAAAGAGGGCUAAGAGUGGCCCACCAAAGAUACUGUGUUACUAUUAGGGUGAAGCCGUGCAGGUGUGGCGGUGGACCACUCCCAGCACAGGACGAAGCCAGCUCUCGCUGCCGUGCAUGAGGCGCAGCGGGGUAGACGUGCACGCUGAUGCUUCUGUUCUGGGUCAGUGCUGAGGCCACAGGUGGCUCUUGUACGGAAAAAGUAAGUAACAGCGAUGGAAAGGACGAGGAACCAAAAUGAGAUUAUACAUGCAGUCAAAGAUUGUUGUUACUACACCUGCCCGUCAGGCUGUUGUCUACAGGACAGGUGUUUGUAACCACCGCCGUCUCGUUUUGGAUUAGGGCGGUGGAUUUGUGCCUGUUUACUGUAAUAAUGAACUUAUUAGACGAGAGUCUCUGCUGUGAGGGUUACGCCUGUGCCAGCAGGGAGGCUGAGUCGUGAUUCAAAGACUGAUCCAUCCUGUGCCACACCCCCGGUGGCCUUUAAAAGCACCUACUUUGUUCUGUCCUAAAAGGUCUGCUCUAUGUUCCACAGAAUGGAGGCCCCAGGGCGUGGCUAGGGACAACGGUCUUGGCUGGGAACUCUGUGGAGAUGAGCCAUGGACUGCCACUGCGAGGGACGAUCAGGCGGCUGGAUGACGGAGUCAGCACACCCACCUGAUCUACUCAGCGGUUAUCGGUGACAGAGACCUUACCUUAGCUGUCACUUUUUUGGAAAAGGGGCAGAGGGACCCAUAAAGUUUGCGUCUCCCCAUCUGAACCACUGCACACGACUUCCUCUUCUCUCGUACUGACGUCCUCGGCCUCCACUAACUGUGGGUAAGGAGGGCAGGGAGCGACGUAAGUAAUGAGAGCUUCCGUUCUUGGAUUGGGAGGUUGGUUUCUGGGUGUGUCUUGAGUUUUUCUAAGUAAUAGAUGAAUACAUUAAUAAAUAAAACCGAAUAACGCCCGCAGAGGCCCAAAUUGGGAUUUGUGGUGAAUCAGUUCAGUGCUAAGGACAAUCCAGCAGGAGAGCUGCAUUGUGUUCAUCUUCAGGGGUUCGCGUUGGGUUUCAUCUUUGCAUUGCAGUCCGUUUCGGCGCUGCUCCAUGGGGGGAGACGCGGGCUGACUCCCCGAGGGAGGAGCACGUGGGAAGGUGGACAGAGUUGCUGGUGUUCUUGUGCGAAGUGAGGUCACGGUGCAGAAUGGCUGUCCAUCGCAUCUUUAAGUGACCAAGGGCCACGUGUGGGCCAUUGCAAGGGAUAGGACGCAGAUACCUAUGAGUUUGUGUGUGCAAAAAGCACUCCAAAGAGUGCCCUCAUCGAUUCGCAUGGGGUAUGUGGGCAUUUGGGCAGUAAUUAGCAAUAUUCAAGGAUAUUGUUAUUAGGUUUUCGAUUCAUGAGGUUUGAUUGAUUAUUAUUAGUGAAUAAA